rnacentral:lncRNA from 1 species
UGUUAAGCUUGGAGGUACGCGGUGCAACCUCAUAAUUACAAGAUUAAAUCCUUGGAUGCGCCUUCAUGCUUCAAAGAAAAAGAAGAUGGUACUCCGAGAAGAAAGUUCUACUCAUGAAAAAACAAAGUCAUCUGAUCAUAAAGCCAUUAUGUGGACCGCCACUAUAUGAAAAAACAAAGUCAUCUGAUCAUAAAACCAUUAUGUGGACCGCCACUAUUUCGGCCCCUGAAAUGAGUAUAAUGGUCUAUGAUCUGAAUGGCUU